rnacentral:lncRNA from 1 species
GUCAACUUGUGACUUAUACAGUGACUAUACUAGUACCCUAACUAUCACUGUCUAUAUUUCAACAAAUUGGUUGAUAGAAACUCAAUGUUCAACAAUUCAUGUAGCAGACACAAUCCAAACCAAAGCCGCCACAAGCACCGAAUGUUGCAUGCUCUUGUUUGAUGCACUUUGUACUACAAUCGGAGUUAAUAGUACAAGGGCCCAACCAUGUUCUACUUCCCCUUGCACAAAUUCUUGCUUCCACCUCUACACAUAAAACAAAUAUAAUAAAGAAAAGGGUAAGAUAUGGGAACAUGAACAUGG